rnacentral:siRNA from 1 species
CUUGAUGUUCUUGGGUAAUUGCAU